UCUACCAAAUCAUACCCUCUGCUUCUCUACUCUCUCUCGCUCACUCUCUUCUCGACGGCGCGCACCUCCAUCGUUAGGGUUCCUCUUCAUCGCUCAUACCUCCAUCGUUAGGGUUCCUCUCCACCGUGCUUCCAUCAUCAAACCACACCUUCCUUCUGCUCUGCUUCGUUUUCACCUCACCGUGCUUCAAUCAAUCAAAACACACCUUCCUUCUACUGCUUCGUCUUCACCAUCGCUUCCAUCACUCAAGCUCGUGUGGGUUCUGCUUCUUCUUCACCGAGCCCGUCCGCUCCAGCGCGACUGCAUCCCACGGCGCGCCGCACCUUCCGCUGCCAUUAUCAAGGUGCUGGAUAUUCAUUAAUUCACUGCUGAAAUUGACUCCAAGUAACUUCCCAAAGGUGAAUGGAGGAAAGAAAUAGAAUCUGUUGUCGGCAAGUAAUAUAAGAAGGAAAGAUAGAGAGAGGGCAAGUGAUAUAAAGGUUUUUUGGUGGAUGAGAGUAUGAAUGAGUUGCAAACUCUUUUACAUGGUUUUUAAAUUUCUCCCGCAAAUGGUCACUUGUUGAUGCUCUUAAGUCAAAUACUUUGAUCUUUUGCCUAAGAAUAUGGACACCCGUCAAAUUCGCGGUUG